GGGUUGUGAGGUUAAGCGACUAAGCGUACACGGUGGAUGCCCUGGCAGUCAGAGGCGAUGAAGGACGUGCUAAUCUGCGAAAAGCGUCGGUAAGGUGAUAUGAACCGUUAUAACCGGCGAUGUCCGAAUGGGGAAACCCAGUGCAAUUCGUUGCACUAUCGUUAACUGAAUACAUAGGUUAACGAGGCGAACCGGGGGAACUGAAACAUCUAAGUACCCCGAGGAAAAGAAAUCAACCGAGAUUCCCCCAGUAGCGGCGAGCGAACGGGGAGCAGCCCAGAGUCUGAAUCAGCUUGUGUGUUAGUGGAACGGUCUGGAAAGUCCGACGGUACAGGGUGAUAGUCCCGUACACCAAAAUGCACAGGCUGUGAACUCGAAGAGUAGGGCGGGACACGUGGUAUCCUGUCUGAAUAUGGGGGGACCAUCCUCCAAGGCUAAAUACUCCUGACUGACCGAUAGUGAACCAGUACCGUGAGGGAAAGGCGAAAAGAACCCCGGCGAGGGGAGUGAAAAAGAACCUGAAACCGUGUACGUACAAGCAGUGGGAGCACCUUCGGGUGUGACUGCGUACCUUUUGUAUAAUGGGUCAGCGACUUAUAUUCUGUAGCAAGGUUAACCGUAUAGGGGAGCCGCAGGGAAACCGAGUCUUAACUGGGCGUUAAGUUGCAGGGUAUAGACCCGAAACCCGGUGAUCUAGCCAUGGGCAGGUUGAAGGUUGGGUAACACUAACUGGAGGACCGAACCGACUAAUGUUGAAAAAUUAGCGGAUGACUUGUGGCUGGGGGUGAAAGGCCAAUCAAACCGGGAGAUAGCUGGUUCUCCCCGAAAGCUAUUUAGGUAGCGCCUCGUGAAUUCAUCUUCGGGGGUAGAGCACUGUUUCGGCUAGGGGGUCAUCCCGACUUACCAACCCGAUGCAAACUACGAAUACCGAAGAAUGUUAUCACGGGAGACACACGGCGGGUGCUAACGUCCGUCGUGAAGAGGGAAACAACCCAGACCGCCAGCUAAGGUCCCAAAGUCAUGGUUAAGUGGGAAACGAUGUGGGAAGGCACAGACAGCCAGGAUGUUGGCUUAGAAGCAGCCAUCAUUUAAAGAAAGCGUAAUAGCUCACUGGUCGAGUCGGCCUGCGCGGAAGAUGUAACGGGGCUAAACCAUGCACCGAAGCUGCGGCAGCGACACUAUGUGUUGUUGGGUAGGGGAGCGUUCUGUAAGCCUGCGAAGGUGACCUGUGAGGGUUGCUGGAGGUAUCAGAAGUGCGAAUGCUGACAUAAGUAACGAUAAAGCGGGUGAAAAGCCCGCUCGCCGGAAGACCAAGGGUUCCUGUCCAACGUUAAUCGGGGCAGGGUGAGUCGACCCCUAAGGCGAGGCCGAAAGGCGUAGUCGAUGGGAAACAGGUUAAUAUUCCUGUACUUGGUGUUACUGCGAAGGGGGGGGACGGAGAAGGCUAUGUUAGCCGGGCGACGGUUGUCCCGGUUUAAGCAUGUAGGCUGGUUAUCCAGGCAAAUCCGGAUAAUCAAGGCUGAGGUGUGAUGACGAGGCACUACGGUGCUGAAGUAACAAAUGCCCUGCUUCCAGGAAAAGCCUCUAAGCAUCAGGUAACAUCAAAUCGUACCCCAAACCGACACAGGUGGUCAGGUAGAGAAUACCAAGGCGCUUGAGAGAACUCGGGUGAAGGAACUAGGCAAAAUGGUGCCGUAACUUCGGGAGAAGGCACGCUGGUGUGUAGGUGAAGUCCCUGCGGAUGGAGCUGAGACCAGUCGAAGAUACCAGCUGGCUGCAACUGUUUAUUAAAAACACAGCACUGUGCAAACACGAAAGUGGACGUAUACGGUGUGACGCCUGCCCGGUGCCGGAAGGUUAAUUGAUGGGGUUAUCCGUAAGGAGAAGCUCUUGAUCGAAGCCCCGGUAAACGGCGGCCGUAACUAUAACGGUCCUAAGGUAGCGAAAUUCCUUGUCGGGUAAGUUCCGACCUGCACGAAUGGCGUAAUGAUGGCCAGGCUGUCUCCACCCGAGACUCAGUGAAAUUGAACUCGCUGUGAAGAUGCAGUGUACCCGCGGCAAGACGGAAAGACCCCGUGAACCUUUACUAUAGCUUGACACUGAACAUUGAGCCUUGAUGUGUAGGAUAGGUGGGAGGCUUUGAAGCGUGGACGCCAGUCUGCGUGGAGCCAACCUUGAAAUACCACCCUUUAAUGUUUGAUGUUCUAACGUUGGCCCCUUACCGGGGUUGCGGACAGUGUCUGGUGGGUAGUUUGACUGGGGCGGUCUCCUCCCAAAGCGUAACGGAGGAGCACGAAGGUUAGCUAAUCCUGGUCGGACAUCAGGAGGUUAGUGCAAUGGCAUAAGCUAGCUUGACUGCGAGCGUGACGGCGCGAGCAGGUGCGAAAGCAGGUCAUAGUGAUCCGGUGGUUCUGAAUGGAAGGGCCAUCGCUCAACGGAUAAAAGGUACUCCGGGGAUAACAGGCUGAUACCGCCCAAGAGUUCAUAUCGACGGCGGUGUUUGGCACCUCGAUGUCGGCUCAUCACAUCCUGGGGCUGAAGUAGGUCCCAAGGGUAUGGCUGUUCGCCAUUUAAAGUGGUACGCGAGCUGGGUUUAGAACGUCGUGAGACAGUUCGGUCCCUAUCUGCCGUGGGCGCUGGAGAAUUGAGGGGGGCUGCUCCUAGUACGAGAGGACCGGAGUGGACGCAUCACUGGUGUUCGGGUUGUCAUGCCAAUGGCACUGCCCGGUAGCUAAAUGCGGAAGAGAUAAGUGCUGAAAGCAUCUAAGCACGAAACUUGCCCCGAGAUGAGUUCUCCUGAGACUUUAAGUCUCCUGAAGGAACGUUAAAGACGAUGACGUUGAUAGGCCGGGUGUGUAAGCGCAGCGAUGCGUUGAGCUAACCGGUACUAAUGAACCGUGAGGCUUAACCUUACAACGCCGAAG
rnacentral:rRNA from 1 species